rnacentral:sRNA from 1 species
UGCUAUCAGGCUCGAAAAGUAAAAAUAUAUGUGCUUGCACAAUAUAUUUUUACCUUGAGAGCCGCCAAAUAUGAGGAAGGAGCGAUUUACGAAGUAAAUCAGCGGAAUCCGAAUAUUUGAAGAAUUGCCGGAAACGGCAAUUCGAAGAUAGCA